rnacentral:rRNA from 1 species
AAAAAAGGUAAGCUACUAAGAGCGAAUGGUGGAUGCCUUGACUGGUAAAGGCGAUGAAGGACGUACUAGACUGCGAUAAGCUACGGGGAGCUGUCAAGAAGCUUUGAUCCGUAGAUUUCCGAAUGGGGCAACCCAAUGUAUAGAGAUAUACAUUACCUAUAUAGGAGCGAACGAGGGGAAUUGAAACAUCUUAGUACCCUCAGGAAAAGAAAUCAAUAGAGAUUGCGUCAGUAGCGGCGAGCGAAAGCGCAAGAGGGCAAACCCAGUGCUUGCACUGGGGGUUGUAGGACUGCAAUGUGCAAGAGGUAAGUUUAGCAGAACAUUCUGGAAAGUAUAACCAUAGAGGGUGAUAGUCCCGUAUGCGAAAAACAAACCUUAGCUAGCAGUAUCCUGAGUAGGGCGGGACACGAGGAAUCCUGUCUGAAUCCGGGUCGACCACGAUCCAACCCUAAAUACUAAUACCAGAUCGAUAGUGCACAAGUACCGUGAGGGAAAGGUGAAAAGAACUGAGGUGAUCAGAGUGAAAUAGAACCUGAAACCAUUUGCUUACAAUCAUUCAGAGCCCUAUGUAGCAAUACAGGGUGAUGGACUGCCUUUUGCAUAAUGAGCCUGCGAGUUGUGGUGUCUGGCAAGGUUAAGCAAACGCGAAGCCGUAGCGAAAGCGAGUCUGAAUAGGGCGCUUAGUCAGAUGCUGCAGACCCGAAACGAAGUGAUCUAUCCAUGAGCAAGUUGAAGCUAGUGUAAGAACUAGUGGAGGACUGAACCCAUAGGCGUUGAAAAGCCCCGGGAUGACUUGUGGAUAGGGGUGAAAGGCCAAUCAAACUUCGUGAUAGCUGGUUCUCUCCGAAAUAUAUUUAGGUAUAGCGUUGUGUCGUAAUAUAAGGGGGUAGAGCACUGAAUGGGCUAGGGCAUACACCAAUGUACCAAACCCUAUCAAACUCCGAAUACCUUAUAUGUAAUCACAGCAGUCAGGCGGCGAGUGAUAAAAUCCGUCGUCAAGAGGGAAACAACCCAGACUACCAGCUAAGGUCCCUAAAUCUUACUUAAGUGGAAAACGAUGUGAAGUUACUUAAACAACCAGGAGGUUGGCUUAGAAGCAGCCAUCCUUUAAAGAAAGCGUAAUAGCUCACUGGUCUAGUGAUUUUGCGCGGAAAAUAUAACGGGGCUAAAGUAAGUACCGAAGCUGUAGACUUGCGCACAACUUAGAUUAUUUAAGUUUAGAAUAUGAGAAACUAAGUUAUAUGUUUAGUUAUAUUUUUACUGAUUUUUAUAGAGUAAAGAUAGAAAUAAAACUUAGUAAAAUCAGUAAAAAUAUUCUUAGACUAAAGUUAAGUAGUUUAAGUUGUGUGCAAGUGGUAGGAGAGCGUUCUAUUUGCGUCGAAGGUAUACCGGUAAGGAGUGCUGGAGCGAAUAGAAGUGAGCAUGCAGGCAUGAGUAGCGAUAAUUAAUGUGAGAAUCAUUAACGCCGUAAACCCAAGGUUUCCUACGCGAUGCUCGUCAUCGUAGGGUUAGUCGGGUCCUAAGUCGAGUCCGAAAGGGGUAGACGAUGGCAAAUUGGUUAAUAUUCCAAUACCAACAUUAGUGUGCGAUGGAAGGACGCUUAGGGCUAAGGGGGCUAGCGGAUGGAAGU